rnacentral:rRNA from 1 species
AUUGAACGCUGGCGGCAUGCUUUACACAUGCAAGUCGAACGGUAACAGGGUGCUUGCACCGCUGACGAGUGGCGAACGGGUGAGUAAUGCGUCGGAACGUGCCGAGUAGUGGGGGAUAACGCAGCGAAAGUUGUGCUAAUACCGCAUACGUACUGAGGUAGAAAGUGGGGGACCUUCGGGCCUCACGCUAUUCGAGCGGCCGACGGCUGUUUAGCUAGUAGGUGAGGUAAAGGCUCACCUAGGCGACGAUCAGUAGCGGGUCUGAGAGGAUGAUCCGCCACACUGGGACUGAGACACGGCCCAGACUCCUACGGGAGGCAGCAGUGGGGAAUUUUGGACAAUGGGCGAAAGCCUGAUCCAGCCAUGCCGCGUGUCUGAAGAAGGCCUUCGGGUUGUAAAGGACUUUUGUCAGGGAGGAAAUCCCUAGUGCUAAUAACACUGGGGGAUGACAGUACCUGAAGAAUAAGCACCGGCUAACUACGUGCCAGCCGCCGCGGUAA